CAUGGGGUGACCCUACAAUAACACAAGAAGGGCCAAGGGGUGAUCCUACAGUAACAUAAGAAAACCCAUGGGGUGGUCCUAUGAUAACGCAGGUGGUGGAUGUGACCCUACAAUAACAUGGGGUAGCCCUCCAAUAAUAUAAAGGCCAUGGGGUGACCCUACAAUGACACAGGUGGUGGAUAUGACCCUACAAUAACAUGGGGUAGCCUUACAAUAAUAUAAGGGCCACGGGAUGACCCUACAAUGACACAGGUGGGGAAUGUGAUCCUACAGUGACACAGGUGGUGGAUAUGACCCUACAAUAACAUGGGGUAGCCCUACAGUAAUAUAAGGGCCAUGGGGUGACCCUACAAUGACACAGGUGGGGAAUAUGACCCUACAAUAACACCAUGAGGGCCGUGGGCCGUCCCUACAGUAACGUGGUGGGACAUGGGGUGGCCCUACGAUAACACAGCAGGGCAGUGUGACCCUACAAUGAUGCGGGUCGACCCUACAAUAGCACGGGGGGGGGAUGGGGUAACCAUAAGAUAGCACAAUAACAUUUGGGCCGUGGGGUGACCCUACAGUAACACAGGAGGGACGUGCGUAGGACGACCCUACAACAACAGUGGGGCUCCAUACAAUAACC
ensembl:lncRNA